UACGUAGGGUGCGAGCGUUGUCCGGAAUUAUUGGGCGUAAAGAGCUUGUAGGCGGUCUGUCGCGUCUGCUGGGAAAAUCCGGGGCUCAACCCCGGACUUGCAGUGGGUACGGGCAGACUAGAGUGUGGUAGGGGAGACUGGAAUUCCUGGUGUAGCGGUGAAAUGCGCAGAUAUCAGGAGGAACACCGAUGGCGAAGGCAGGUCUCUGGGCCACUACUGACGCUGAGAAGCGAAAGCAUGGGGAGCGAACAGG
rnacentral:rRNA from 1 species